UUUGCCCCUAGGGGCAUUUUAGAUGUGGCUGCUGUGUCACAGGUGCUUCUGUAGGUGGCAGAGAGGAGAGAGGCUGUGUCUACACUCAGCGUUCUGACCUGUGAACAUCUGAAUGGUUAGUAGCCUAACAUC